AUCAACUUUCGAUGGUAGGAUAGAGGCCUACCAUGGUGGUAACGGGUAACGGGGUGUUAGGGCACGACACCGGAGAGGGAGCCUGAGAAACGGCUACCACAUCCAAGGAUGGCAGCAGGCGCGCAAAUUACCCAAUCCCGACACGGGGAGGUAGCGACAAUAAAUAACAAUACGGGGUCCUUUCGGGUUUCGUAAUUGGAAUGAGUACAAUUUAAAUCUCUUAACGAGGAACAAUUGGAGGGCAAGUCUGGUGCCAGCAGCCGCGGUAAUUCCAGCUCCAAUAGCGUAUAUUAAAGUUGUUGCAGUUAAAAAGCUCGUAGUUGAAUUUCGGGAUUAGUACGUUGGUCGUGCCUUCGGUACGUACUGGUGUUACUGAUUCCUACCUUCUGACGAACCAUCAUGUCAUUAAUUUGGUGUGGUGGGAAAUCAGGACUGUUACUUUGAAAAAAUUAGAGUGUUUAAAGCAGGCUCGCGCUUGAAUACAUUAGCAUGGAAUAAUGAAAUAGGACGUUGACCCUAUUUUGUUGGUUUCUAGGAUUGACGUAAUGAUUAAUAGGGAUAGUUGGGGGCAUUAGUAUUCAAUUGUCAGAGGUGAAAUUCUUGGAUUUAUUGAAGACUAACUACUGCGAAAGCAUUUGCCAAGGAUGUUUUCAUUAAUCAAGAACGAAAGUUAGGGGAUCGAAGACGAUCAGAUACCGUCGUAGUCUUAACCAUAAACUAUGCCGACUAGGGAUCGGAUGAUGUUAUUUUUAAUGACUCAUUCGGCGCCUUACGGGAAACCAAAGUGUUUGGGUUC
rnacentral:rRNA from 1 species